AACUUUGUGAAGUGGCAGUAUUGUAGCCAAUGAAGUUUAUCCAAGGUGCAGUUAUAGCUUUUUGAAAAUUUUCCCCAAUGCCCCUCCAUGACGACUUGAAAUAUAGUCAGCAUUAGCAAUUUUUGACAGUUUCUACAGAGA
rnacentral:snRNA from 1 species